GACGCGUGAUUACAUUUCGAUGAAUUUUCUUACGUAUUUUGCUACUGUCGCUUCCCUAAACAAUGAAAACAAGGAAAAAUACGUAAACAUAUUCUUGUAGAUGUCAAAUGCAUGGAUUGACACUUUCUGUUAAGCAGAACUGAUGUAAAUAGAUGCAAUUGCUGUGACAAAAACUGGUUAAAGUGAAGCAUUUUUAAAACUGAAAAAAGUUCGUGUUGAUGGGCUAAAAUACAUCUAGUUUAGAGAAAAUUUUUCGGGAAGGCAAAUUGAUGAAUUGUAGAUCAUUAUUAUUUAAUAAGCAAUAAUAUUGCGGCUACGAAAUAGGAACAACAUGCACCGUCUAUGGGAAGCCACGAAAUCGAAGUUGCCAUUAAUUCUCUGGAGAGACUCAUUUAAAUGAAAGCCGGAAAAAGUCAAAUCGGGCCUCGUUGUAAAAGGAAGACUUGACUGCCUCAAAUUUUAGUAUCCUCCCAAAUUUAUUCACAAUUUUCACUACAACAGGUGCCUUUUAAUCAUUUAUUAUGAGCAAAUGAUUCUAAACUUUUCACUUUGGGUACACAAUUACACAGCCCGUAGCGAAACAGAGAUCAAAGAUGACAAAAACGCGCCAAAACUCGACCAAAGACAAAACUCUGUCGUUGCGGUUUCGUAAACUGAGCAGAGAUUUCAAAGCAUACGACCCGGUGUUCCUUUGCUUUCAGCUCUUUUUAAAAGGAGCGGUUAGAAACUGGAGUCGAAUUUCAUUCGCAAUUUAUACAGGUGUGUUUGUGCUCCCAUAAAAACUAGACAGCACGCGUUAAUUUUUUAUACUCGCAGAGGCUCACAAAAAGCCAUUACUCACAAAUUUUUAAUAAUGUUUUGCCUGCUUGCCCUCGUAACCACCCGCUCAAACAGAAGGCGAAAGUUUCGCCGCUAAAAGGUGUUCGUGUACCUCAAUCCCAGAAAUAUGGACAAAUUUAAGAAACAGAAGGUUCAUUCUGUGGUGGUCAUCUGGAUUCACGUUUUAACAUAACGCAUCACGAUAGAAAUGCGUAAAGUUCGAGUCAGGACUACUGCCCGAAGUCGAAAUGGGUUGAUGUUUUUACGACCGGUCUUGAUUGCGUAAAGCAGGAUUUUAACGGAAGAACUUGCACUAUCAAAACUGGUAUUUCCAGGUCAUGGAAGGUCGUCCCAGGUUAGGAGAUAGUUUGGUUUCCCUGUCUCAGAAGAUGUAAGUAUGAGCGAUCUCUUGAAGUUAUUCAUCCGAGUUACCGUUCAGUAAAGGUUUGUAAUGAAAUAAAGACCAUGGUCUAAAUCCUAUCCAUGUGUGAGCUCAGUGUGUACAAUCAUUUAAAAUACGGUCAAUAGUCCUACAUUUUUCUGCAACCUGCUGAAUUUUCCUGUGCAAGCGACUUUUACAUAAUUGUCCUUGCAAAUGUCUUAGUUGCAAGUAAAAAAAAACAAAAAAACAGUUGGUUACAGUUUCUAAAGCCGUUGCUUCAAGUGGAAUUAAAACACGUUACGGUCAUAUUUUGUUAUGAAUUAGCUUCUUCUUACUCUGAAACCAAAAAUAUUCAGCUACACACUAGCCACGAACAAUAUAUUAUCACAAGUAACUGUCAACUUUUAUUUUCAAAGUAAAUUUCUCGACAAUUAACUUUACUGCCGUCUAAAAUGACAAGCUGACAACAAUCUACCCCCAGCGGUUCAGUGCAAAUGGCAAUUCUUUUAUUUAAAUUACCCCCAUCACUGCCUAAACGCUCACUUCAAUUUUGAGAUUUUGAGAAGAACAUAAUUUUGAAACCAUUGAAACGAUUUCUGGAUUGUUUACUGUAUAGUUAAAUAUUUUUGGUUUCAGAGUAAGAAGGAGCGAACUCAUAAUAAAAUAUAUCAAAUAUUCCACUUUAACCAACUGUUUUUAAACUUACCUUCUAAACCAGGAGAUUUGCAAGGAUAAUUAUGUGAAAGUAGCCUAUUCUUCGCCGGGGAAGCGAAAUUUCUCGACAAUGAACCUGAAAUCGUCUUAAAUAAGGAGUUAAUCGUCUCUGGAACAGCAAUCCACCACCAGCAGUUCAGUACAAAUGGCUGUUCUUUUUUAAAAUUACCCCCAUGACUGCCUAAAUGCUCGCGUCGAUUUUCAGAUGUUGAGAAGAAUAUCAUUUUGUUACCACUGUAACGGUUUCUUGAUUUUACUUAUUUAGUUGAAUAUUUUUGGUUUCAGAGUAAAAAGUAGCGUACUCAUAAUAAAAUAUGACCGAAACCUGUUUUAAUUCCACUUUAACCUACUAAGAGACUAUGAAUUAGUCUCUUGAACCAACUAAGUGUUUUAAAACUUUUCUUGUCAGCCAAGACAUUUACAAGGAUAAUUAUCCAAAACUGGUUUGUAACACAGGAAUUGAAAUACAGUUCCAAAUUGCGGGGAAUUCGAAAUAACCGAGUUUGAAUUAGCGAGGUCCAACUGUAUUACAUACAUACAGCCUAUUCUCCCAAAGAGCGAAACUUAUGAAACAACAUGUGGCUGUCUUCAGAUCAACAUCAAGAUUCAGUUUAUGCUUUUUAGAUAGAGUGGCCAGUCAAGAUUAUGUUUGCUUUGACAAUUUUUAAGCAUUUUCUGUCUAGAAAUAAGAAGGUAUUUCAACGAUGAAAUAAAAUUUGCUCUAUACCGUUUUCAUAUUAAGUAGUUCGUGUUUUCUUGAAAAAAGGGGUAAAACUAUUGGCUACGAAUAAAUGUCGUCAUUUAGUAAAAAGGUUUAUGGUUUUAGCUUGAUUUACUAACAAAUGAAUUUUUAAUUGCUCUUUCUCAUGCAGAGAAAUGCAAAAUCUGAUUGUAAUUUGGCCCUUUCUCCACAAGUUCAGCCACAUCAAAAUCGCUGCCAUAUACAUUUGACAAUAAAAGCGACGAGCUUGUCAUUUCAGGAGGUGGUAGUGAAAGCUGUCGCUGUCCCACAAACCAUGAGAAGCAGAUGGCCGAUUCCUGGAAAAUCAACCUCACUUUUGGACACCUGUCCAUUUCACCGCCGAACGGCCGUGAUAAAAAGCAACUUCAAAUUGCGAGGUCGAUUAUGCUUAAAUUAAAUGGGAUUCGUUUUACAUGUAGUUUCUACAAGUGAAAUAAACUAUUGCUUAGAUAGAUUUUCUUCAGUUAAGGUGGACUAUAACAAGAGCGAGAGAGGAUAAUCUCUUGACAGAAGGAAUAUUUGAAAUGUUAAGUAAAUAAAUUUUACAACCACGAAACAGGAGUUAUUAAAAAUCAUCACCGACAA
rnacentral:lncRNA from 1 species